CUAUGCCUACGGGACGCAGCAGUGAGGAAUAUUGGCCAAUGGGCGCGAGCCUGAACCAGCCAAGUCGCGUGAGGGAAGACGGUCCUAUGGAUUGUAAACCUCUUUUGUCGGGGAGCAAAAGACGCCACGCGUGGCGUUCCGAGAGUACCCGAAGAAAAAGCAUCGGCUAACUCCGUGCCAGCAGCCGCGGUAAUACGGAGGAUGCGAGCGUUAUCCGGAUUUAUUGGGUUUAAAGGGUGCGCAGGCGGAAGAUCAAGUCAGCGGUAAAAUUGCGAGGCUCAACCUCUUCGAGCCGUUGAAACUGG
rnacentral:rRNA from 1 species